UUAAGUUCAGCGGGUAUUCCUACCUGAUCCGAGGUCAACCUUAGAAAUUGGGGUGUUUUACGGCAAGAACACGCUGUAAGACCAGAGAGAAUAUUACUACUGCACUCGGUAUGACAACGAGCCCGCCACUGAUUCAGGGCCUGCGGACAGCCGCAGGGCCCCAACACAAGCCAAGGGCUUGAUGGUUGAAAUGACGCUCG
rnacentral:misc_RNA from 1 species